GGCGCCGUGGCUUAGUUGGUUAAAGCGCCUGUCUAGUAAAAAGGAGAUCGAGAGUUCGAAUCUCGCCGGGGCCU
rnacentral:tRNA from 1 species